GAUUAAGAGCUUGCUCUUAUGAAGUUAGCGGCGGACGGGUGAGUAACACGUGGGUAACCUGCCCAUAAGACUGGGAUAACUCCGGGAAACCGGGGCUAAUACCGGAUAACAUUUUGAACCGCAUGGUUCGAAAUUGAAAGGCGGCUUCGGCUGUCACUUAUGGAUGGACCCGCGUCGCAUUAGCUAGUUGGUGAGGUAACGGCUCACCAAGGCAACGAUGCGUAGCCGACCUGAGAGGGUGAUCGGCCACACUGGGACUGAGACACGGCCCAGACUCCUACGGGAGGCAGCAGUAGGGAAUCUUCCGCAAUGGACGAAAGUCUGACGGAGCAACGCCGCGUGAGUGAUGAAGGCUUUCGGGUCGUAAAACUCUGUUGUUAGGGAAGAACAAGUGCUAGUUGAAUAAGCUGGCACCUUGACGGUACCUAACCAGAAAGCCACGGCUAACUACGUGCCAGCAGCCGCGGUAAUACGUAGGUGGCAAGCGUUAUCCGGAAUUAUUGGGCGUAAAGCGCGCGCAGGUGGUUUCUUAAGUCUGAUGUGAAAGCCCACGGCUCAACCGUGGAGGGUCAUUGGAAACUGGGAGACUUGAGUGCAGAAGAGGAAAGUGGAAUUCCAUGUGUAGCGGUGAAAUGCGUAGAGAUAUGGAGGAACACCAGUGGCGAA
rnacentral:rRNA from 1 species